rnacentral:lncRNA from 1 species
UUUAAAAAAUGCUGGUUUUGUUCCCCUCAGACUCAGCUGUGUACACAUCAUUAUUUGAUGGCUAUUGAGGACCUUGCAGCUUGAAUUCUUAUCAGAGGAAAUACCAUGCUCAACUAUCCAUGCUGAGCAAUACAACUGGGCAGGUGUGUUAAAAUAAUGUUUGGCAGAAUAAGCAUCGCUCCUCUCCCUGAGAAAACUCUCUUAUCAGCGAUGGCUCCUCAGCGCCCUGCAGAUAAGAAGCCCAGGGGCCCCCAGGCUGCUCCCCCGUCCUUCAGCCAGAGCUGCUCCUGCUCCACAGCCCUGCAGCAAUUUAAAGCAUCCAGAAAUUGGCCUUUCAUUUAGAAGAACAUGAAAUUGAGGUAAGAAUAAUACCUGCUGAUGUAGCUGUCUGGUACCAAAUCACAUCACUCAGCCUGGCUGUUCUCAUGCUCCGUGCAGACUCGGAUGCUUUUUGCAUUUCGACAAUUUCUCUUUGCUUUUCUAUAAAAAAAAUGCCUUACCCUGCCAAGGCUUGGCCCUUUUGGGAGCAUUCAGGUGCCC